CCUGGGAAGGGAGACUUCCAGAGGUGGGCGGACUGCGACUGCUCCUUGGAGCAGUACACCUGACUGUCCCAGCCAUUGGAGAGAGCCCAGUGCUGGUAGCCUUCGACGGGGAUGAGAGCGUCGUGACGCGGCUCCGGGUGCCCGCUGAUCCCGGGCACCACCGACACGUCCAGGUUUUAAAUGCUGAGUGCUCGUGUGUAGCCAGCGCACAGGCCAUGGCCACACAGUAGCGCCUCGCUCAGCCAGACCCACUGCACCCCUCAAAUGGAAAGCAAAUGGACAGGUCUGCAGAGACCCCUUCGGGCCGCGACCCUCCUCUUUGUGGGGAGAAGGUGGUGUUUGACGGUUGAGAGCACUCGGACAUCGGAGCACUAUGCGGCCAAAAUGUAGUGGCGAGAAGAAAGAAAGGGAACCAUAGUCCUCUUCCUCAAGAAGACCAGCCGAAGUCGUAGGCCUCCAAAGCGACUUGGAGGAGUGGGAAGGCUGGAGGGGAAAUUUUGGACUAAGCGCAGUAAAGGCGACUGAGGAAGUCCGCGUGCUCUGAACAAUUCCCUCUUCUUUCGCUUGGUUCCCCAAGACCUUUCGCGCCUGCAAACGCAGUCUCCAAGUCUGGAGCGCCGGGAUCGGGGAGGGAGGCGCCGAAGAAAGAGCUUGCAGGAGGACGGUGGAAAGUAAAGCCUUGCUGGUUAAUUAACUUUAAGCCUGGGGUGGUUUCUCUCCCCUCCCCCGAAAAAAAAUGUGGCUCUCGCUGAGACACAAAUAAAAUCAAAUUAAACACUCCAGGAGAAUAUGCACCACUAGAAACGUAGUAAUUACAUCUCCAAGGCGAUCUCGCCCUAGAAAGCCUUUCUAGGGCCUGGCGCUGAAACCCUCGGCUGCAGUGCUCACCCGGGCUCGCCCCGCUGGCCUUCGGGGAUUAGGCGGUGAGGUUUGACUGUGGAUGAAGUUUAGAGAAAAUCCAGCUGCUGGUAUGCGGAAAAAGACGGAGCAUUUAAUUAUACGGAAGGAAAAUGGAAAACAGCUCCUCAGCCUCGUCGGGAAGCCCCGGCUCUGCUCCCGGCUGCUUUUUCAAAGGGACUUCUACAUCGCGGAGCGGCAGGAGCCACUCUACCCUCAGCUACCGUCCAUGCACCGAGCUCUCGGCUAAGUUCGACUCUGAAAUGUUUUCUUUUAAAUGCUCCAACACAUAAAGGAGAUAUUUAAUGUACCUUUUCGCGGGAAGUGUGUGUUUGUGUGUGUGUGUGCGCGCGCGCGUGCGUGCGUGCCUGUGGGUUUAGGGAUGGGUGCAGGCUGCCUGCACUGUGUCAGCACACGGCCUUGUGGACACAGCCCAAAUGUGUUCCUAAAGAUAACCAGCUCUCUGCCUAAAUCCUCUGUAUGCAAAUAAAAGUCUCUGCUUGUCUGUCUGUA